GCUCCCACGGAGGAUACAAUAGCCAUAUCAAACGGUAUCGCGCCUACAAAGAAACGACCCAGCCAAAUGUUCUCUCUACUGUAUUCCUUACUUCCAGACGAUGACUACUACAUGAGGGAUCCGGCAACAACAACCUCACCUCCCCCAUCUGUGCUGCUGUCCCUUAUUUUUGUCUAGACUGUCGUCCGCUUCCUUCAAAUUGAAUUUCACUUUUUCCCCACGUAUACAGGGUAUCUGGAGCAAAAGGCAUCAGCCCGAGGCAAAAGCGCCAGCUACUCGCAGUCAUCGCAAAGCCAAAG